rnacentral:misc_RNA from 1 species
UCGAAUCCCGCAACGAGCUGACCGCGCACACGUAUACUGCUGCGUGGUGGACCCGACGGGAAGGCGCGCCUGCGCCUCCCCGUGGGUUGCCAUGCACCCGCCCGACACCCGCGUGAGCGAGUGCAACAUGCGGGGCCAACAAACCCACGGCGUUGAAAGGCGCCAAGGAUGACGAAGGCGGGAGUGCUUCCCCCGACGUGCACCCGUUCGUGGUGUGCCGGUCGAGGGGUGUGCACCUCCCAAGAUUGAAUACGAAAAAGAU